ACUCCUACGGGAGGCAGCAGUGGGGAAUAUUGGACAAUGGGCGAAAGCCUGAUCCAGCAAUGCCGCGUGUGUGAAGAAGGCCUGAGGGUUGUAAAGCACUUUCAAUUGUGAGGAAAGGUUUGAAGUUAAUACCUUCGAAUUCUGACGUUAACUUUAGAAGAAGGACCGGCUAACUCCGUGCCAGCAGCCGCGGUAAUACGGAGGGUCCAAGCGUUAAUCGGAAUUACUGGGCGUAAAGCGCGCGUAGGUGGCUUGUUAAGUCAGAUGUGAAAGCCCCGGCUGAACCUGGAACUGCAUUUGAUACUGGCAAGCUAGAGUAUAGUAGAGGCAAGUGGAAUUUCC
rnacentral:rRNA from 1 species